rnacentral:lncRNA from 13 species
CAAGGACAAAUGUGAGAAUAAGGGAGAUGGGAUCCUCUCAGGAAGAAGAUGAACCAAGGUUCCAGGCCACACAAGGAUCUAAAAGGCUUGUGAUAAUCUUUGCAGCCUCAACUGAAAAAUAAUACUUUCCCUGACUAGCCAAGAUGAAGAGUCUGGGCUGCUGACCAAUUGCUUGCACAGACCAGGAUUAGAUCCUGUACAUUUUCUGACUUCAGUCCAGGUGAAUACAAAUUUAAGAAAAGGCAAAAUCGGAAUAUGUGACUUGAAGGAAGCUUCAAAUUCAUUCAGUUCUGCCAUUAGGUGGCAGCAGUACAACGUGAAAAACAUUUAAGGCACUAAUG